AUGAGCCCCGGCCCGGCGGCCACGGGCGGAGGCGGCGGCGAGCGGCGGAGCAUCCGGGGCCUGUUCAAGUUCGCGGACCGGGUGGACGUGGUGCUCAUGGCCCUGGGCACGCUGGGCGCCAUCGGCGACGGCUGCUCCACCAACCUCCUCCUCAUCUUCGCCAGCGACGUGAUGAACUCGCUGGGGCGCGGCCACGCCCAGCAGCAGGGCAGCGCCACCAGCGUGCACUUCAUGCAUGACAUCGAGAAGUCGUGCCUCAACUUCGUCUACUUGGCGUUCGCCAUCCUGGUGGUGGCGUCCAUGGAGGGGUACUGCUGGAGCCGGACGAGCGAGAGGCAGGUGCUCCGGAUCAGGCACCUGUACCUGGAGGCCAUCCUGCGGCAGGAGGUGGCCUUCUUCGACUCGCAGGAGGCCACCACCUCGGAGAUCAUCAACAGCAUCUCCAAGGACGCCUCACUCAUCCAGGAGGUGCUCAGUGAGAAGGUUCCUCUGUUUCUGAUGCACUCCACGGUCUUCGUCUCCGGGCUCGCCUUCUCCACCUAUUUCUCCUGGAGGCUGGCUCUGGUUUCCUACCCUCUGGUCCUGCUCCUCAUAAUCCCUGGUCUCAUCUACGGGAAGUACCUUCUGUACCUCUCCCGCGAGUCGCGCCGCGAGUACGCCAAGGCAAACUCCCUCGUGGAGCAAGCACUUGGCUCCAUCAAGACCGUCUACUCCUUCACUGCAGAGAAAGGGAUCAUCCAGAGGUACACGGCAAUCCUCGACAAGACCAUCAACCUGGGGAUCAAGCAGGGCAUUGCCAAAGGCCUCGCUGUCGGAUUCACCGGUCUUUCUUUCGCCAUUUGGGCCUUCCUCGCCUGGUAUGGCAGCCGGUUGGUGAUGUACCAUCAUGAAAGCGGAGGGAGGAUAUACGCCGCAGGAAUCUCCUUUGUUCUGGGUGGCCUAUCCCUUGGAAUGGCACUCCCGGAGCUGAAACAUUUCAUUGAGGCCUCGGUUGCUGCCACGAGAAUUCUCGAACGGAUCAACCGUGUGCCCCAGAUCAACGAUGAUGACCCAAAGGGCCUUGUUCUGGAUCAAGUCCAUGGAGAGAUUGAGUUCGAAUCCAUCCGCUUUGUGUACCCGUCCAGGCCUAAUAUGACAGUCCUCAAAGACUUCAACCUCCAGAUUCCUGCUGGCCAAACAAUUGCUUUGGUCGGCUCAAGUGGCAGCGGCAAGUCUACCGCAAUAGCACUGGUGCAGCGCUUUUACGAUGCCAGUGAAGGAACUGUCAAGAUCGACGGUGUCGACAUCAAGAAACUUAAUCUCAAGUCGAUUAGGAGCAAGAUGGGACUUGUCAGCCAAGAUCAUGCACUGUUCGGCACAUCCAUAAAAGAGAACAUCUUAUUCGGCAAACCAGAUGCAACCAUGGAUGAACUCUAUGCAGCAGCCAUGACAGCGAAUGCUCACAACUUCAUAAUGGGGCUUCCUGAGGGAUAUGAGACUAAGAUUGGUGAGCGCGGAGCAUUGCUAUCAGGUGGCCAGAAACAGCGCAUUGCCAUUGCAAGGGCGGUCCUCAAGAACCCUGCUAUACUUUUGCUUGAUGAAGCCACAAGCGCACUUGACUCAGAGUCGGAGAAGCUAGUGCAGCAUGCACUUGAUCAAGCAUCCAUGGGAAGAACAACACUGGUCGUAGCUCACAAGCUUUCCACUGUGAAGAAUGCCGAUCAAAUCGCGGUAGUCGAUGGGGGCAGCAUAGCUGAAAUUGAGACACAUGAUGAGCUGAUCAACAAGGGUGGCCCAUACUCACGACUUGUGAAAUUGCAGAAGAUGGUGAGCUACAUAGAUCAAGAAACUGACCAAUUUAGAGCCUCCUCAGCAGCAAGGACCAGUGCCAGCCGUCUCAGCAUGUCCAGAGCAAGUCCCAUGCCACUCACGCCAGGUGUUUCAAAGGAAACCGAGUCAUAUGUUUCCCCACCUGCACCGUCUUUCUCCAGGCUUCUUGCAAUGAAUGCACCAGAGUGGAAGCAAGCACUCAUAGGCAGCAUCUCUGCAUUGGUGUAUGGUUCCUUGCAGCCCAUCUAUGCUCUAACCAUCGGAGGAAUGAUUGCUGCAUUCUUUGUUCAGGACCACAAUGAGAUGAAUGCAAUCAUCAGCCGCUAUGCAUUGAUCUUUUGCUCACUAUCCCUGGUAUCCAUUGCUGUUAAUCUAUUGCAACACUACAAUUUUGCCUACAUGGGGGAGCAUCUUGUUAGGCGUAUCCGAGUCCAAGUGCUAGAGAAGAUCUUAACCUUUGAGGCAGCAUGGUUUGAUGAGGACACAAAUUCAAGUGGCUCGUUGUGCUCUCGGCUAAGUGACGAGUCUUCUCUUGUCAAAACCCUUGUCGCAGACAGGAUCUCUCUGCUUCUUCAAACAGCCUGUGGAAUUGUAAUUGCGGUGACAAUGGGACUCAUAGUAGCAUGGAAACUUGCCCUUGUCAUGAUUGCUGUACAGCCCUGCACGAUGAUAUGCUACUAUGCCAAGAAGAUAGUUCUUUCAAAUGUGUCAAGGGACUUGGCAAAGGCUCAGUAUGAAAGUACUCAGAUUGCCAUAGAAGCUGUUUACAACCACAGGAUGGUGACCUCAUUUGGAUGUUCAUCAAAGAUUCUUCAGCUCUUCGAGCAUACACAAGAGGAACCAUUGAGGAAAGCAAGGAAGAAGUCAUGGGUAGCAGGGAUAACCACAGGGCUGUCACCGUGCCUCACAUUCUUAUCAUGGGCAUUGGACUUCUGGUAUGGUGGGAAAUUGGCACAGUCCGGGGAGAUCUCAGCAGGUGAUGUCUUCAAAACCUUCUUCGUCUUGGUGAGCACAGGAAAGCUGAUUGCUGAUGCUGGCAGCAUGACAUCUGACCUGGCAAAGGGAUCAAAUGCCGUUGCUUCAGUUUUCGAGGUGCUAGAUAGGAAAUCUAUCUCUCCGCAAAAUUCACAGGUGGAAAAGGACAAUCCGAAGAGCAAAAUACAAGGACGGAUAGAGUUCAAGAAGGUGGAUUUUGCAUAUCCAACAAGACCACAAUGCCUGAUCCUGCAAGAUUUUAGCUUGGACGUCAAAGCAGGAACAAGUAUUGGCCUGGUGGGGAGAAGUGGAUGUGGUAAAUCCACAAUCAUAGGUUUGAUCCAGAGGUUCUAUGAUGUUGAUAGAGGUUCUGUAAGGAUAGAUGGUAUGGAUGUGAGGGAGAUGAAUGUUCUUUGGUAUCGAGGAUUCACCGCUCUAGUUAGUCAGGAGCCUGCAAUGUUUUCUGGCAGUGUCAGGGACAACAUUGCCUUUGGUAAACCAGAAGCUGAUGAAGAAGAGAUUGUCGAAGCUGCUAAAGCCGCAAAUGCACAUGAAUUCAUCUCCUUACGCCUUUUCAGAUCUCUGAAGGACGGAUAUGACACUGAUUGUGGGGAGCACGGAAUACAACUAUCAGGAGGACAGAAGCAAAGAAUUGCAAUUGCGAGGGCAAUAAUCCGAAAUCCAGCUAUACUACUUCUUGAUGAAGCAACAAGUGCUCUCGAUGCACAGUCCGAGCAAGUGGUGCAGGAAGCACUUGAUCGGAUCAUGACAGGGAGGACCACAAUCGUAGUGGCACAUCGACUAAACACAAUCAAGAAUGCAGACUCAAUAGCCUUCUUAGGAGAGGGCAAGGUGAUUGAGCGUGGUACUUACCCACAGCUCAUGAACAAGAAGGGGGCAUUCUUUAACCUGGCAACCCUUCAGAAAUAA
rnacentral:rRNA from 1 species